rnacentral:sRNA from 1 species
CAUUACUGAACUUGAAUCUCAGAGUUUGUUGCUGGCAUUUUUUNNNNNNNNCAGGUGCACGCUUNGAUAUUUAAUAACCCACACACACCUGUGCACUUUUGUAGAAGCAUGUGUUAUAAAAUGCAAAGAGCGGUUCAAGAGAUUCAGUUCUCUACGCUUUCUUUGCUCACAUGUGUCUUCUAUGUUUUUAUACAUACCCUUAUAAAAGUCUAUAGAACGUUUUUACAUUCAGACAUGUAACAGUGUCUCGAAUAAAAAUCUAAUACAACUUUCAACAAUGGAUCUCUUGGCUCUUGCAUCGAUGAAGAACGCAGCGAAAUGCGAUAAGUAAUGUGAAUUGCAGAAUUCAGUGAAUCAUCGAAUCUUUGAACGCACCUUGCACUCUUUGGUAUUCCGAAGAGUAUGCCUGUUUGAGUAUCAUGAACAUCCUCAACCGAUUUGUUUUGUUAUAUAAAACAAAAUCGGCUUGGACUUGAAGGUUGCAGGCGAAAUUGAAAUUUCUGUCAGCUCCUUUUAAAUGCAUUAGCAGAGAAAGCUUAGGUGUGAUAAAAUAUUGAACGCCUUUUUCUUUUCUCAGCUUCUAACCUUGUGUUUUGACGGAUUUAUAACUGUUAAACGCACAUUAAAGCAACUUUGAUCUCAAAUCAGGUAGACUAC